CUUCAGUGAUGAUACGAUGGCGAGUCGGGACGCAGUUGGUCUCUGGGGGUCAUGUUCUAUGUGUCUAGGUUCAGUUCCCUUAAGCAUUGUGUUCUUCAGUUGACGACAGAGGCAUUUGUCUGAGAAGG
rnacentral:snoRNA from 1 species